GGGCAGCUCAAUGGCAGAGUGCAUGCCUGGAAUGCAUGAGGCUCUGGGUUCAACCCCUAGCAAUGUCCA
rnacentral:tRNA from 1 species